rnacentral:rRNA from 1 species
GAUGAACGCUGGCGGCGUGCCUAAUACAUGCAAGUCGAGCGAACGGACGAGAAGCUUGCUUUUCUGAUGUUAGCGGCGGACGGGUGAGUAACACGUGGAUAACCUACCUAUAAGACUGGGAUAACUUCGGGAAACCGGAGCUAAUACCGGAUAAUAUUUUGAACCGCAUGGUUCAAAAGUGAAAGACGGUCUUGCUGUCACUUAUAGAUGGAUCCGCGCUUCAUUAGCUAGUUGGUAAGGUAACGGCUUACCAAGGCAACGAUGCAUAGCCGACCUGAGAGGGUGAUCGGCCACACUGGAACUGAGACACGGUCCAGACUCCUACGGGAGGCAGCAGUAGGGAAUCUUCCGCAAUGGGCGAAAGCCUGACGGAGCAACGCCGCGUGAGUGAUGAAGGUCUUCGGAUCGUAAAACUCUGUUAUUAGGGAAGAACAUAUGUGUAAGUAACUGUGCACAUCUUGACGGUACCUAAUCAGAAAGCCACGGCUAACUACGUG